rnacentral:rRNA from 1 species
GUGGGGAAUUUUGGACAAUGGGCGCAAGCCUGAUCCAGCAAUGCCUCGUGCAGGAAGAAGGCCUUCGGGUUGUAAACUGCUUUUGUACGGAACGAAACGGCUCUGGUUAAUACCCGGGGCUAAUGACGGUACCGUAAGAAUAAGCACCGGCUAACUACGUGCCAGCAGCCGCGGUAAUACGUAGGGUGCAAGCGUUAAUCGGAAUUACUGGGCGUAAAGCGUGCGCAGGCGGUUUUGUAAGACAGGCGUGAAAUCCCCGGGCGCAACCUGGGAAUGGCGCUUGUGACUGCAAAGCUGGAGUGCGGCAGAGGGGGAUGGAAUUCCGCGUGUAGCAGUGAAAUGCGUAGAUAUGCGGAGGAACACCGAUGGCGAAGGCAAUCCCCUGGGCCUGCACUGACGCUCAUGCACGAAAGCGUGGGGAGCAAACAGGAUUAGAAACCCCGUAGUCC